ensembl:snRNA U6 U6 spliceosomal RNA
GUGCUCGCUUUGGCAACACAUAUACUAAAAUUGGAAUAAUACAGAGAUUAGUGUGGUCCCUGCACAAGGAUGACACACAAGUUUGUGAAGCAUUCUAUAUAUUU